AAAGGGGGCAACCCCCGGUAGCGUGGCAGACGGGUGAGUAACACGUGGGUAACCUACCCGAAGGUGGGGGAUAACCCUUCGAAAGGAGGGCUAAUACCGCAUGACAUCGUGGGGAUCUCGAUCCCUGCGAUCAAAGCUGGCCUCUGUUUACAAGCUAGCGCCGACGGAGGGGCCCGCGCCCCAUUAGCUAGUUGGUGAGGUAACGGCUCACCAAGGCAACGAUGGGUAGCCGGCCUGAGAGGGCGACCGGCCACACUGGAACUGCGACACGGUCCAGACUCCUACGGGAGGCAGCAGUGAGGAAUCUUGCGCAAUGGGCGAAAGCCUGACGCAGCGACGCCGCGUGGAGGACGAAGGUCUUCGGAUUGUAAACUCCUGUCGAGAGGGACGAAUGCCAUGAGGGUGAACAAUCCUCGUGGUUGACGGUACCUCCAAAGGAAGCCCCGGCUAACUCCGUGCCAGCAGCCGCGGUAAUACGGAGGGGGCCAGCGUUGUUCGGAAUCAUUGGGCGUAAAGGGCGCGUAGGCGGCCGACCAAGUCGGAGGUGAAAUCCCUCGGCUCAACUGAGGAACUGCCUCCGAUACUGUUCGGCUUGAGUCCCGGAGAGGGUAGUGGAAUUCCGAGUGUAGCGGUGAAAUGCGUAGAGACUCGGAAGAACACCAGUGGCGAAGGCGGCUACCUGGACGGGUACUGACGCUGAAGCGCGAAAGCUAGGGGAGCAAACAGGAUUAGAUACCCUGGUAGUCCUAGCUGUAAACGAUGGGCACUUGGUGUUGCGGGUAUCGACCCCUGCAGUGCCGAAGCUAACGCAUUAAGUGCCCCGCCUGGGGAGUACGGUCGCAAGGCUGAAACUC
rnacentral:rRNA from 1 species